rnacentral:rRNA from 1 species
AGCGAACGUUUGCGGCGGGCUUAACACAUGCAAGUCGAACGAGAAUCCCUUCGGGGAGGAAAGUGGCGCACGGGUGCGUAACACGUGGAUAACCAACCCAUUGGUUUGGGACAACACCGGGAAACUGGUGCUAAUACCAGAUGUGUCGCAGCUGUCUUCAGGCGGUUGCGAGAAAGGCCCGCAAGGGUCGCCAACGGACGGGUCCGCGUCCCAUCAGCUAGUUGGUGAGGUAAUGGCUCACCAAGGCAAAGACGGGUAGCUGGUCUGAGAGGAUGAUCAGCCACACUGGAACUGAGACACGGUCCAGACUCCUACGGGAGGCAGCAGUGGGGAAUAUUGCGCAAUGGGCGAAAGCCUGACGCAGCCACGCCGCGUGAGCGAUGAAGGUCUUCGGAUCGUAAAGCUCUGUGGGGGGAGAAGAAGAAAGCCGGUGAAGAGCCGGCCCUGACGGUAUCCCCUUAGCAAGCACCGGCUAACUCCGUGCCAGCAGCCGCGGUAAUG